AUGGCUAAUGGUACUCGGUGGGUGCUUAGCCCUGUUGUUCAUGUCCAAGGCUUGUCUCCAUGUGUUGUGCAAGUUAGUGAAGUGGACCUCACUUUUGAUUGGUUGAAGACUAAAUUCAUGUUGAAGCAAGGGUUGAAGGAAGAGGAUUUUGUGUACUACGUCAGCAGGAAGCAGUCAGAUGGCCCCGGGGAAAGAAAAUUGGUUGACAUAACUGACGAUGACAAGAUUCAAGAAAUGCUGCAAGAAUGGAAAUGGAACAGGGUUGUUGACUUGCAUUGCUACAGGAAACCGAGUUAUAUGUGA
rnacentral:rRNA from 1 species